AUUGAACGCUGGCGGCAUGCCUUACACAUGCAAGUCGAACGGCAGCAUGAUCUAGCUUGCUAGAUUGAUGGCGAGUGGCGAACGGGUGAGUGAUACAUCGGAACGUGCCCUGUAGUGGGGGAUAACUAGUCGAAAGAUUAGCUAAUACCGCAUACGACCUGAGGGUGAAAGUGGGGGACCGCAAGGCCUCAUGCUAUAGGAGCGGCCGAUGUCUGAUUAGCUAGUUGGUGGGGUAAAGGCCCACCAAGGCGACGAUCAGUAGCUGGUCUGAGAGGACGAUCAGCCACACUGGGACUGAGACACGGCCCAGACUCCUACGGGAGGCAGCAGUGGGGAAUUUUGGACAAUGGGCGAAAGCCUGAUCCAGCAAUGCCGCGUGUGUGAAGAAGGCCUUCGGGUUGUAAAGCACUUUUGUCCGGAAAGAAAUGGCUCUGGUUAAUACCCUGGGGUCGAUGACGGUAACCCGGAAAGAAUA
rnacentral:rRNA from 1 species